rnacentral:rRNA from 1 species
GACGAACGCUGGCGGCGUGCUUAACACAUGCAAGUCGAACGAUGAAGCCCAGCUUGCUGGGUGUGUUCGUGGCGAACGGGUGAGUAACACGCGUGUAUACUGCCCUUGACUCUGGGAUAAGCCUGGGAAACUGGGUGUAAUACCGGAUAGGAGCGCCUGUCGCAUGACGGGUGUUGGAGAGAUUUUUCGGUCAUGGAUGGACUCGCGGCCUAUCAGCUUGUUGGUGUGGUAAUGGCUCACCAAGGCGCCGACGGGUAGCCGGCCUGAGAGGGUGACCGGCCACACUGGGACUGAGACACGGCCCAGACUCCUACGGGAGGCAGCAGUGGGGAAUAUUGCACAAUGGGCGGAAGCCUGAUGCAGCGGCGCCGCGUGAGGGAUGACGGCCUUCGGGUUGUAAACCUCUUUCAGUAGGGAAGAAGCGAAAGUGACGGUACCUGCAGAAGAAGCACCGGCUAACUACGUG